rnacentral:rRNA from 1 species
CCGAGAUUCCCCCAGUAGCGGCGAGCGAACGGGGAGGAGCCCAGAGCCUGAAUCAGUGUGUGUGUUAGUGGAAGCGUCUGGAAAGGCGCGCGAUACAGGGUGACAGCCCCGUACACAAAAAUGCACAUGCUGUGAGCUCGAUGAGUAGGGCGGGACACGUGGUAUCCUGUCUGAAUAUGGGGGGACCAUCCUCCAAGGCUAAAUACUCCUGACUGACCGAUAGUGAACCAGUACCGUGAGGGAAAGGCGAAAAGAACCCCGGCGAGGGGAGUGAAAAAGAACCUGAAACCGUGUACGUACAAGCAGUGGGAGCACAGAGCAAUCUGUGUGACUGCGUACCUUUUGUAUAAUGGGUCAGCGACUUAUAUUCUGUAGCAAGGUUAACCGAAUAGGGGAGCC